ensembl:lncRNA
CUCCUUUUCACUGUAGCCUGCCUAGGCUGCUCUGAGCUUUCUCCAAGCACAGGUCUCACCAAGCAUGUUUUGUCUCAGGAACUUAUCAGCUUCAUUUGAGUAAAGGGCCGCUGACCUGAGCUGAGCUUUUGUAUUCACAGGCCCAGGAGCAGUGACCUCUGAUGCCAAGGGAAGGAAGAGGCAACUUCAGCCAAGGGAGUGGGCAAAAAGGUCAUCCACAUCCCCCGGCAGCCCCUGGCCACCUUGAGAGCUUUGGUCAACCUCUACAAAUCCUUAGUGAGGGAGAGCAUGCUCAGCUACGUCCUUGGGCGUGCAAGAGCCCAGAAGACGCGGUCAGGAGCAGCCGAAUCGGAUUUUUUGGGAGUGCGAGAGCCCAGAGGACGCAGUCAAGAACAGCCGAAUCAGAUUUAGUCGAGGAUGAGACAGCUUCUGCCAGAGCUGAGGCCUGGGGACUGAUUUCCAGGGAGUGGGUGAUCCAGGAGCAGGGCGGGAUGUCCCUCUUCUGGGACCAUGAUGAUGGACUCUGAAGCAGAGGGUGUCAGAGUGUGAGACCCUUAUCCGAGCUCCUCUUAGAAUGAAGCUCUUUCCUGCUUCUAUUUUUUAAGUGAUAAAAAUGAAUAUACAUACAGAAAAGUGCAUCGGACCUUUUAUAUAAUAACAACUAUAAAGCUAUCACCCAUGUACUCAUCACUCCCAACAAAAGUGCAACAUCGGGGCACCUGGGUGGCUCAGUCGGUUAGGCAUCUACCUUCAGCUCAGGUCAUGAUACCAGGGUCCUGGGACUGAGCCCCAUGUUGGGCUCCCUGCUCUCAGGGAAUCUGCUUCUCCCUCUUCUCCCUGCUCGUGCUCUCGCUCACUACUGCUCUCUCAAAUAAAUAAAUAAAAUCUUUUUUUUUUAAGUUUAAC